UGGAAGUAAAAGUCGUAACAAGGUCUCCGUUGGUGAACCAGCGGAGGGAUCAUUACCGAGUUUACAACUCCCAAACCCAAUGUGAACCAUACCAAACUGUUGCCUCGGCGGGGUCACGCCCCGGGUGCGUCGCAGCCCCGGAACCAGGCGCCCGCCGGAGGGACCAACCAAACUCUUUUCUGUAGUCCCCUCGCGGACGUUAUUUCUUACAGCUCUGAGCAAAAAUUCAAAAUGAAUCAAAACUUUCAACAACGGAUCUCUUGGUUCUGGCAUCGAUGAAGAACGCAGCGAAAUGCGAUAAGUAAUGUGAAUUGCAGAAUUCAGUGAAUCAUCGAAUCUUUGAACGCACAUUGCGCCCGCCAGUAUUCUGGCGGGCAUGCCUGUCCGAGCGUCAUUUCAACCCUCGAACCCCUCCGGGGGGUCGGCGUUGGGGAUCGGGAACCCCUAAGACGGGAUCCCGGCCCCGAAAUACAGUGGCGGUCUCGCCGCAGCCUCUCCUGCGCAGUAGUUUGCACAACUCGCACCGGGAGCGCGGCGCGUCCACGUCCGUAAAACACCCAACUUCUGAAAUGUUGACCUCGGAUCAGGUAGGAAUACCCGCUGAACUUAAGCAUAUCAAUAAGCGGAGGA
rnacentral:rRNA from 1 species